CUGGCCCAAGAAUCUAAGAACGACUUUAAACCGCUUAACCAUGAAUCUGUGUGUGGUGUACCAGAUGACUCACCGCCAGAGCCCCCGGCCGCGGAGGGCCGCGGGGUCGCUAUCCUUCCAUCCGCCGCGCACGGCUCCGGAGUGUCCAAGAGACGCCGACUCCUUUCUGCCUGGUCCGGCCUCGGGACCGUUGGUGUAAUUCUCCGCGACCUGUAAGGAGAAGAACACCUGGGUAGUCUGUUCAUGGGUCCCCCUACCCGCCCUUCCUCCCUACGCUCCCUUCCCGCGUUCCUACGCUUGCCCCGCUUAGUUGCCUGGCCCUCCUGGCCGCAAUUGCUGUCCCGCUGUCCUUGGGAGCUCUCGUCAGAGGACCCAGAAGCGCUGCGCCGUUCCGUCCUCCCCCUGCCCCUGUAGGCCGACCUCGGCCUACUGCAACUAUCAGCUGACAGGCUCCUCUCCCUGGCGCUCCAUGUACCCUCCUGCCUGGCGCUUUCCUCGCGCCGUUCCCUGCUGACUCCAGGUCUGGGGUUGUGUAUAACUCCUGGGCGCCCCUGGGAGAUGCACCUGCGGUCCCCCCGUAUCCUCCUAACCCCAGCGUCCGAAUCCGCAUCAGACCAUUGAGAAAGGACCCCUUGUGACGCCAACCCGUCAGUAAGGGGGUCCCUGCGCUGACCCAGGCAGCCAG